GAAAACACCAGCCUCACACCUGUCAGUUCUUGGCCAGUUGCUCUCCGGGAAGGAUGCGAAGACAGCUGGCCUUAGUUUUUCUGGGCUUUUCUCCAUGGUCCUUUCCGGCAGGGCCAGCCAGAGGCCAAAAUCUUGAACAUAGUGAAGUCGCUUUGCAGCAUCUGCCUCCCCUGGCUGCACCAGGAAAGAUCUGACCAGUGAUUGUAUGAACUUCUCGUCUGCUUCAUUUCCAGAGAGGAAGUGCUUUUGAAAUGA
rnacentral:lncRNA from 1 species